rnacentral:lncRNA from 10 species
AUCUCACAGAAGGGCAAACCACAUCAAAUACAGCAGCAGGCUUCCUUGCUCUUAAAAGGUGCUUUGACCACUUUAUUUCCUGAGGGCGUUUCUGUGACUUAUCACACCAAUAAGUCACUGUUGUUCUCAAUAUUAUUGGCUUGUACCGUUCCACCGUUCCUCCUCAUUUUUUUUUUUUCUUUUUUGAGACAGAGUCUUGUCCUGUCACCCAGGCUGGAGUGCAAUGGCGUGAUCUCGGCUCACUGCAACCUCCGCUUCCCAGGUUCCAGCGAUUCUCCUGCCUCAGCCUCCCAAGUAGCUGGGAUUACAGGUGUGCACCACCAUGCUCGGGUAAUUUUUUGUAUCUUUAGUAGAGACGGGGUUUCACCAUAUUGGCCUGGCUGGUCUCAGACUCCUGACCUUGUGAUCCACCUGCCUCGGCCUCUUAAGGUGCUGGGAUUAUAGGCGUGAGCCACAUCACCCAGCCCUCCCCACUUCUUUCUUCUUUCUUCUCCCAUCCCUCCAGCUUCCCACUUUGGAGCAACAAAUUCACUCCUUGUCAUAUACAGAACAACUUCCUAUACCUACACAUACACAAGCCUCUGGAACUUUGAGCCAGCCAAUAUUUUGACUUUCAACACCUCAACAUCUUCUCACAAACACUUACAAAGAUACUUUUCUCAAACAAAGGUUAUUCCCUCCCUUAGAAGAAUUCUGGUGUCAAUGUUAAGAGGAUAACAUUUUUUGUCUAUUCCAUUACAGAAAAAUGGAUGGACAUGUUUUACUGCCUGAACGCUGGUGCCAGUUAGGCCAACAGUCAUGUGGCAAUGGCUAUGAAUUGCAAGCAUUGCUGAUUGUUAUCUGCUGCUACUGCCUUUGAGCUGGAGCGGAACAGAUCAACAUGGGCCAAACAAGAGCCUCUUUGGAGAUUUCUCUACUGCUUCAAGCACACAGAUUCCAAGUUUAGAAGCUCAAGAGAAGGAAACCAGAUGAGAGACAGAAACUGAAGAAGACCCUUCAACUUCAAGGGUCAAUCCCACUGCGAAUCACCUGGGAGAAAAGCCUUGCCUGGAAUAUCCAAACCCAUGGAUCUUCAGAGUCAGAUAUCUGUUUACAGCCUGAUAGUAUAAGAGAGGAACCAACUCCUAAAAUGGAAAAUACCCCAAACAUUUGCAAAGCUCAUUAUUGACACUGCCUAUUUAACUUUGUAUAUGUCAGUGAUAGUAUUAUUGUUCACAUGAACUCACCUGAGAAGUUUUAUGAACACCCCAAGGAUCAAAGGCCAUCACAACAAUUCAAAUUAGUUGGCAUAUUUUGCAGUCCAACUUUGUCUUAGGCACCAUGCUGGGCUGGGGCUAAUUUUGUCUUUGCCUCAAAGAGAUGAACAACCCAGUGGGGGAUGAAGGUGAAUAUGUAACUAGAAACAAGUAAUCAUAAUGCAGAUAGGAUGUUGAAAUAAGAGCUGAAAUUGUAUAAAUUUUAUUUCCUUUUGUUUGUGUAUAUGUGUUCUAAGUAUAAUUUCAGAACCCAAAUCAGGGUACACAAAUGCAAUUAUUUGGAGGAGAAGAGGUACUCUUCUAUAUACUAUCUAUAUACCCACUUUGG